rnacentral:lncRNA from 10 species
CUCACCCUCAGCAGGACCCCACAUCCCACAUUACUGGCAAAGUGAAGAGGAUUCAAGGCUCUCCUGACACCAGUUCUUGAACUAUAAAUGUGUUUGGAUUCCCAGAGGUUUUUACACUCUACUAACAUUUAUGAUUUGUGAGAGAUACCCGUUCCCUGAGGGGCAUGCAUCAUGCACAGGAAAACCACAGGAUCUGCGAAAUGCAAGAUGACCCAACUUCCAACAGUGUUAAUCAAUGGAGUAGUCAUGAAUUACUAUGUACUCAAUUAAACUUUGUUGCAAAAAUCA